UGGGGUGUGCGGUGCUUUGGGAGCACUAGGUCGCAGGUUCGAAUCCUGUCGCCCCGA
rnacentral:tRNA from 2 species